AGGAUGACAUCCAUUUCCUCAAGACUUUCCAGUCAGUCAGUGAAGCACCUGAGUCUAAAGACUUAUCCUGCAUCUCUGUGAACCAAGGCCUCUCUUUUGAGGCUGUGAAGAAAUCUGUCUCCUCACUAAAGAUGCAGCUGGAGAAUUUCUGCAAAGAGGAAGUCAUGAAAAUAUCUGCAUCAGUGACUAAAGUCCAGGCUGU